UAAUACGUAGGGUGCAAGCGUUGUCCGGAAUUAUUGGGCGUAAAGAGCUCGUAGGCGGUUUGUCACGUCGGCUGUGAAAACCUAGGGCUCAACCCUGGGCCUGCAGCCGAUACGGGCAAACUAGAAUUCGGUAGGGGAGACUGGAAUUCCUGGUGUAGCGGUGAAAUGCGCAGAUAUCAGGAGGAACACCGGUGGCGAAGGCGGGUCUCUGGGCCGAUAUUGACGCUGAGGAGCGAAAGCGUGGGGAGCGAACAGGAUUAGAUACCCUGGUAGUCCACGCCGUAAACGUUGGGAACUAGGUGUGGGCCACAUUCCACGUGGUCUGUGCCGCAGCUAACGCAUUAAGUUCCCCGCCUGGGGAGUACGGCCGCAAGGCUA
rnacentral:rRNA from 1 species